rnacentral:rRNA from 1 species
UACGGAGGGUGCGAGCGUUGUCCGGAAUUAUUGGGCGUAAAGGGCUCGUAGGCGGUCUGUUACGUCGGGAGUGAAAACUCGGGGCUCAACCCCGAGCCUGCUUCCGAUACGGGCAGACUAGAGGUAUGCAGGGGAGAAUGGAAUUCCUGGUGUAGCGGUGAAAUGCGCAGAUAUCAGGAGGAACACCGGUGGCGAAGGCGGUUCUCUGGGCAUUACCUGACGCUGAGGAGCGAAAGUGUGGGGAGCGAACAGG